rnacentral:lncRNA from 14 species
CUCACUGAGCCUCUGACUAAGGGAGUUCUCUGUUGCUCAUUGCCUGAGUCGGUGACUGAGCUUCGUCAUCCCUCCUCCAGGGUGUUCAUGGGAGCCGCUGUUGUCGGCCUUAUUCUCUGGCUGGCUCUGGACACAGCUCAAAGGCCAGAGCAGCUGAUCUCCUUUGCGGGAAUCUGCAUGUUCAUCCUCAUCCUCUUUGCCUGCUCCAAACACCACAGUGCGGUGAGCUGGAGGACAGUGUUUUGGGGCCUGGGCCUUCAGUUCGUCUUUGGGAUUUUGGUCAUCAGAACUGAACCUGGAUUUAAUGCAUUUCAAUGGCUGGGAGAUCAGAUCCAGGUACAGGGAAUUGGAUGUCAGAGUUUUCUUCACCGGGAACCUCAGAGAAUGUGGAUUUGAGGAAGCAGGAGGCUUUGGGACUAUGCCUUAAUGAUGCUGUGGCAGAAUCUGGUCGGGUAAAGAGAAAGAGUAAUGGGGUUCCGGUGAGAAUAUGGAAUCCAGUUAGGUAGAGAGUAAUAAGGUUCAGGCAGUACACAGAAUCGGGUAACGAGAGAAAGAAGAAGGGGUGAGGUGAGAAUGUAACUGAAGAGAAAUUGAUUGGCUGAGUCUGUCAUUUCAUGACCAAUUUCUGGGACAUGGCUCACAGGUGGUCACACCUGAGUCAUAUCCCGUCUUCCUGUGUCCCA